GAGCAGCGCCGUGUAGAGCCUGAGUCAGAGCCCCAUCAGAGCCCCGGCUGUGGUGAGGCCACAAAUAAGGCCUGGGGGAGGGCUGGAGGAGGCACGUUGGGGUGAGACGCCCUCCCCUGAAAAAUAAAGAAAUCAAUGAAGAGGUUCAAAGGCUAAUGAGAAGAGGAUGGGAAAAGAAGCUGACAGAUGGAUGGACAGACAACACGACUGUGAUGAAAAUGACAUUUCUUUGUAUGAUGCGUCAUCCCCACAGUACGAUCUUCUGCCUGAUGAAGUGUGUGAGCCAUAGCACUGCAAGCCUGAUUUGGAAAAAAGAGGGACACGCCACAUCUGGCUGCUGCUUAUCCACACGUGUCCUACGGCAACGCAACGCAGGAGAGGGCAGAUGGUUUGGGAAUCAUUGUGGAGCUGGGUUCAAGCCAAGGAAAUCACCUCACCCCUCUCUAUAUUGCAAAGAAGAGUUUAUGAACCUUCCCACAUUUCAGAGGGUUUUUCUAAGCAUGCUACUUGAACCCAGUUGGGGAUUUCGGCUGAUUGACCCAUGGAGCUGCUGAGAAAGGCCAGCCAAAAAUGAGAAAUAUUUUCAAGAGCUUUGCCAACGUUGCCGGGAGGAGAUGCCCUGCAAAAGCGUUCAGCUUUCUGAGACACAGGCUUCUAGGAUAUAAAUGUAGCACUUCUGAUACAGACAAUCUGGACAGAGAAGAGCUUGUUAUCUGCGUAAGUCAGUGCCCCGAAGGCCACAAUCCUCUGAAAGUGUCACCUCUGUCUCAUUUUGAGUAACCCCCAUUCCUGCGACCUGCCUGCAUCUGUCUAGGCCGGAUCAGGGUGUGCGAAAUUCUACAGCUGCUGAGGAAAAACUGGAGUUCUGGGUCUCUCAGUCCAAGUCUGUGGGCACACUGACGUAGGGGCAGCCGACAAAAUCAGAAGCACUUUGAAUGAAAUCAUCUGAGAGGCUCAGCACAUCACAGAACAGGGAGAACUAGGAGUGCUGCUGUCAGAAUAUGGGGCUGUGAGGCAAUGACAGCUUUCUGAGCUCAUGUGGAAAGGAUGGCAGAAACUGAGCUUAUUUAAGAAGUGGUGCC